GGCCGUGUCGGCCGCCGUUCUGCCACACUGCAGCCAAGGCAAGGAGGAGGACGCUGGGAGGCAGUGCUGCACCAUUACUCGAAUCAUGGCCAUACUGGAGCCGGUGGUCACACAGGUUGAGGGUGACGCCCAUGCCUCUGCCACCGGAGAUGGACGACGACAGAGCCGAGCUGCCGGCCAGUGAGAUCUAGACGAAAAAGUAGGAGGCAGAGAGGGAUAUGAAGUGGGGAAGAAGUGACGGUGAGGGAUGAUGAAGAAAUGAACUCCGACUUCCUGCUGUAGAACCACAUCCACAACGCCCUCUUCUAAGCUAGCUACUACCUCCCCAAGAAAUGCAACAUCAAGCCAAGCUUGGUUCAGAUCUUCCGCUCAUAGAAUUUAUUCUUCCCCGUCUCGACCUACAGACCGGCGGGACGAGUCGACCUAGGCAACUCCUGGGCGGAGGGGAAGCGACCACAUGGAGGCAGGCGUAGCACGGUAGCAGGUUGGCAGCGGCGCGUCGAUCUGGGCAACCUCUGAGGAGAGCAGCGCAGAGAGGGAAAUGUGAGGAAUUAAAAACCGUUGCCUCUCAGAUUCUGAUAUUUUCCGAAAUAGAUGACCUGGUUUCUUAGGUUUCAGGGUUCAGAUGGAGAGAGCUCAGAGAUGCCCCGCAACAGCAGAGUGGCAUCGUCAAGGGAUUUUGCCUAUGUUCUUCUUGAAUGUGGCUAGAAAGGAGCAGAGGAGGCAAUCUCUCAUGUCAGCUGGCAAGAUAACUGUUUAAUCAUGUGAGAGGUACAUUGGUUACUCCACGAGGAGAUGUUUUCUGUCAGUGUAAUGUACUAGCUGGUGUGACAGUGUUUGAGAGCAAUUAAAUCCUUGUAUGGAAGAGAAACUAACAUCCGGUAACCUGCAGGUCCAAAUUGACCAGCUCAUCUUCACGUAUGAUUAUUAUGUCUAUGGCAGCAUGAGAUCUCCUCAUUGAUAAAUAAGCAAUGCGGCCAUCUGCUAAUUGGCUCACUAUUAUAUGGAUAUAACACCAUUGUGACAGCGUAUGGACAGUUAGAGUACAUCUUGAGUCAUAACGAUGGGUACCAAUUAAUCUGAUGAAGCUAACUAUAGAGGAAUAAUUCCACAAAUUAUGGAGAUGAUAUUCAGUAAAGCUGAUGCAGUGAAGGGUGAUACAGAGAUAUUAAUAAGAGUGUCCAGCAUCUUGUUCACUGAAUCUUGUUCUGCAGUUUCCUAUCAACCCAUACGGUAAGGUCAAGCAAAUGGUAGAGGAUAUCAUUUGAACUUCUCCAAGUCCUGGAAAUCAUACAUGUAAGUGAUGAUUCUGAGAUCGCUAUCGCUUACUACAAACAUUGAAGUCCUUUUGUACAACCAUAACACUUGUUACUGAGUGAGUAUCCUAACCCUUUUGGGUAUUUUAAUGUCAUUGGUUCCGACCCAGAAGGAAGGCUGGGUGAGGCUCCACCACCUGAACUGUGUGAGUGCCGCCUUAUGUAUGGUGAAUGCUUUGAAAAAUCACUAGGAAUUAUCCCAGGGUGGUAGGUACAUGUACAUCUUCCAACAAAUAAUUAAUUGUCAGCGUGUUUUAGCUAGAGUCUCUGCUAUCAGUAAAAAAAAUCACAUUUACUGGACUGCUCGUGUUCUAGGUAGUAUAUUUUUCUUUUGGGAAACCUACAAACAUGUGUCUUGAUUCUUGAACAAUCAUGGUCCUCUGCUUUCAACAAUAUCUGCAACAAUUAGGUCUUUUGGGAAUUCAUGCAAGCACUGUAAAGCUUCUCAGGGAACAUAACCUCUAAUUUGUUUGUUUUUUUCUAAAACUGAUGCAACAGACACAAUCAAGAAGUUCUUGUUUAUAGUGGAUAUUACUACUUGUGAUAUUUGUAGUAAUAUUUCCAAUAUAAUUCUUAUGCUUAUGCAAUUUCCAUACCAUCUCAUGAUUGCACAUGACAUUGUUCUACUAUUUCGGAGUAUGUUAUCUAAAAGACUCGUAAGGUUUUGACUUGCAGACUAGGUGAAUAAUGCCUCAUGUUACUGAAUAUUUGAAGUAUGAAUACACAGAACUUAGGAAUACAUGCAUACUUUCAUCUAGUAUUUAAGAAAAAAUAUUUUCCUAUACAGAGUAAUAGGUCACCCUUGGAAAAGAAUGAAAUAGUAUUUUGUAUGAUUAUAAUGUCCAUGCCUUUCAUGUCUUGUCAUGUUUCCUGGUCUCAGAUGUUCUAGGCAAGUUGGUGGUUAAUGUUGUCCAAAUUGGCCUGUUACCCAGCCCCGGUCCUUUAUUUAAACUCUCCACAAUAUCAUAUUAAAUAUGAUUCAAAGGCUGAACAUGAUCUACUCAAGCUUCUACAAUACGCCAUCUUUGUACAGGACUUGGCUCAGUGGCCGGGAUGGGGCGUCGUCGGCGCGGUCAAGUUUUUUGCCAUGUAUGGUUUCUCCUGCAACAACCUCAGGAAGUUGUGCUGCCUAUUCUCAGAGUUCGCGUUGGUUAUCCUUCUUUUUCUGAUGUAAAUUAGAGAGGUGAUGGUAUUGUAAUGUGCUUUUUGGGGAAGCUGCUGAGCUGGUGUACUCUAGGGACUAGAUCAGAUGAAGGAUGAGGUGACGAGCUGAGAAGCAAUCUUUAUUUUGUAUCUUGUUCAUAUUCGAGGUUCAUAGCUUGGAAUCCGUAACACUAUUCUCAUUUGUUUUUUCUCUGUAUGAAUCUUCCAGUUGUUUGGCUAGAACAAUAGCAUAGUACAUCAUAUAAUCAUAUAUAUAUAUAUAGUUGUUCAGCAA